rnacentral:tRNA from 1 species
GGUGGCUCAAUGGUAGAGUGCUUGCUUUGCAUGCACGAGGCCCUGGGUUCGAUUCCUUGGCACCA